rnacentral:tRNA from 1 species
GGCCCGUUGGUCUAGGGGUAUGAUUCCUGCUUUGGGUGCAGGAGGUCCCGGGUUCAAAUCCCGGACAGGCCC